rnacentral:rRNA from 1 species
UACGUAGGGGGCGAGCGUUGUCCGGAUUUAUUGGGCGUAAAGAGCGUGUAGGCGGCCAGGUAGGUCUGCUGUGAAACUCGAGGCUCAACCUCGAGACGUCGGCGGAAACCAUCUGGCUAGAGUCCGGAAGAGGAGAGUGGAAUUCCUGGUGUAGCGGUGAAUGCGCAGAUAUCAGGAAGAACACCCGUGGCGAAGGCGGCUCUCUGGGACGGUACUGACGCUGAGACGCGAAAGCGUGGGGAGCGAACAGG